rnacentral:miRNA from 1 species
UACCUCGUCGACUGGAAGGAAACCCUUCCAGUCGACGAGGUACAUGUAUUUCCCUUCCAGCUGGCGAGGUACAUGUACCUCGCCAGCUGUUUCCUUCCAGCUGGCGAGGUACGUGUACCUCGUCAACUGGAAGGGUUUCCUUCCAGCCGGCGAGGUA